CUACGGAGGGUGCAAGCGUUACUCGGAAUCACUGGGCGUAAAGCGCGCGCAGGCGGUCUUUUAAGUUGGAUGUGAAAGCCUACGGCUCAACCGUAGAACUGCAUCCAAAACUAUUAGACUAGAGUGUGGGAGAGGAAGAUGGAAUUAGUUGUGUAGGGGUAAAAUCCGUAGAGAUAACUAGGAAUACCAAAAGCGAAGGCAAUCUUCUGGAACACUACUGACGCUAAGGCGUGGAAGCGUGGGGAGCAAACGGGAUUAGAUACCCUAGUAGUCC
rnacentral:rRNA from 1 species